UAGUCUACGCCGUAAACGAUGGAUACUAGUUGUUUGGAUUUCGGUCUGAGUGACUAAGCGAAAGUGAUAAGUAUCCCACCUGGGGAGUACGUUCGCAAGAAUGAAACUCAAAGGAAUUGACGGGGGCCCGCACAAGCGGUGGAGCAUGUGGUUUAAUUCGAUGAUACGCGAGGAACCUUACCAGGGCUUAAAUGUAGUAUGACAGACUGAGAGAUCGGUUUUUCUUCGGACAUAUUACAAGGUGCUGCAUGGUUGUCGUCAGCUCGUGCCGUGAGGUGUCAGGUUAAGUCCUAUAACGAGCGCAACCCCUACCGUUAGUUGCCAGCAUGUUAUGAUGGGGACUCUAGCGGGACUGCCGGUGCAAACCGAGAGGAAGGUGGGGAUGACGUCAAAUCAUCACGGCCCUUACGUCCUGGGCUACACACGUGCUACAAUGGUCAGUACAGAGGGCAGCCACUACGCGAGUAGGAGCGAAUCCUUAAAACUGAUCUCAGUUCGGAUCGGAGUCCGCAAC
rnacentral:rRNA from 1 species